AUUGAACGCUGGCGGCAUGCUUUACACAUGCAAGUCGAACGGUAACAGGCCGCAAGGUGCUGACGAGUGGCGAACGGGUGAGUAAUGCAUCGGAACGUGCCCAGUCGUGGGGGAUAACUACUCGAAAGAGUAGCCAAUACCGCAUACGAUCUAUGGAUGAAAGCGGGGGACCGUAAGGCCUCGCGCGAUUGGAGCGGCCGAUGUCAGAUUAGGUAGUUGGUGGGGUAAAGGCUCACCAAGCCAACGAUCUGUAGCUGGUCUGAGAGGACGACCAGCCACACUGGGACUGAGACACGGCCCAGACUCCUACGGGAGGCAGCAGUGGGGAAUUUUGGACAAUGGGCGCAAGCCUGAUCCAGCAAUGCCGCGUGCAGGAAGAAGGCCUUCGGGUUGUAAACUGCUUUUGUACGGAACGAAACGGCUCUGGUUAAUACCCGGGGCUAAUGACGGUACCGUAAGAAUAAGCACCGGCUAACUACG
rnacentral:rRNA from 1 species